UGAGGAAUAUUGGUCAAUGGGCGCAAGCCUGAACCAGCCAUCCCGCGUGAAGGAAGAAUGCCCUAUGGGUUGUAAACUUCUUUUCCGGAGGAAUAAAAUCCCGAACGAGUUUGGGACUGAAGGUACUCCGGGAAUAAGCAUCGGCUAACUCCGUGCCAGCAGCCGCGGUAAUACGGAGGAUGCGAGCGUUAUCCGGCUUUAUUGGGUUUAAAGGGUGCGUAGGCGGAUUAAUAAGUCAGUGGUGAAAACCUGCGGCUUAACUGUAGGCUUGCCAUUGUUACUGUUAGU
rnacentral:rRNA from 1 species